CCCAGACAUGAAGCACAUUUCUGGAGGCUCCACUGGCCCAUGAGUGUGAUUCAUUCUCAGACUCUCAGGAAGGUUGUGUAUUAGCCACCAGCAGCUUAAUUCAUUGAGGCGAACCAUAACUGAUGGAUCAUCUCAGCUGCUUUAGAGGUGCAGAAAUUCAAAUGAACUCUUAACAAUAUGGUUGCUGAGCAAAUACGAAUUCUCAACACAAAGAACUUCACUAUAAGAAAUUUUAGAGGAAAUCAUUGAAAUUAAAGCAAAAUGAUGCCAGAUGGAAACUUGGAUCAACAGGAAGGAGUGAAUAGCACUGGAAAGGGAGACAGGGAUGGAAGUUUAUUCUCUUCCUUGUUUCAUCAAGUAUAAUAUUUAAACAUCAUUUAUGUCUCUAUCCAUUAACACAUUUUCAACAUCUGCUGGGUAUUUAAAUCACUUCUCUGAGCACAAGGGCGGUCCCUCGUGCCACCUGGAAUGCAGCUGGCUGGCCUUCAGCGAUCCCUGAUGCCAUGUGGGGCUCCCACGGCCCGCAUCGCCACAGUCACGGCCGGCCCCAGGAACUCCGUCUACUAACUCACUUCUCAUCCAGGAACUCUAUACGCCGCUCUUGGGCAAGUAAACAGUAUGACAUUUCUAAAAAAUAAUUCUAUAAUUUUUAUUAAGAGGCUUCAAAAUGCUUAUGUCAUUGUAAUUUCCUUAGGAUUUGCCAUAAGAAAAUAAUUUGAAAUGUGAAGAGAGGUUUACAAACAAUUAUGUUAAUUACAGGAUUAUCUGCAAUAUAAAACAUCAGAAACCUAAAAGCUUCAUAAAGGAAACUUUGCAUAAAAUAAUUAUUACAUAAAUUAGGAUAUAUUUAUACAACAAAAAAGUAGGUAGCCAUUUGUAGUAUGGGUUUUCCUUAUAAUACGGUUUCAUGUAUUUUUAAAAAUGUAAAAAUAAAGCAAUUAGAAACACAUCAAAUAUAGUUAUUUAUGAGUCAUAAAAUUGUAACUGAUAUUUUACUUUAGUUCUUAUGUAUAUUAUCAAAAUAAGCAUACAUUUAAUAUUACCUUUUUUCUUAAAACAAAGAUAUAUGGUAAGUGUAAAACUUCAACCCUGAGAAUUUCUCCAUGUACUUUUUGCUCACUGGAUAACCUCUUGCUUUCCUAAUUCAUAACUAUAAAGAAACUUACAUAGUUUUAUUUCAAUUAACAAAAAGAAAGCUGGACGUGCCUUCUUUAAAGUUUACGAGACUGAAAUCUUUGGAUUUCAUACUGAAUGGCAAAUUAGGUUCCCAAUUUCUCUGACUGAAUAAUGCUUUGAACGUCUUGAGAAGUUUAAAUUACUUAGAAACAAACUCAACAUGAAAGGACCUUAGAAACAAUAAUGGCAGAAAAUUGUGGCAGAAAUAAAUACAAAUUACAAUGUCUGAUUAUGGUCUGUGUAAAAUCCAAAAAGGUAAUCAGGUUACCCAGCACCAAAUGAAGAAUCAUCUUAAUUAGCACGAAUGCAUUUCAACCAGUAAAAUGAAUUGAAGACUUCUACUUUGAAAUUUGCAAUUACAAGAUAAAAAGUCUAAAAGAAAUAGUCUUUUUUUCUCAUUCCAGUAAUUCUGUAAUUCUAUUUCAAAGCUCUCUUAUUAAAGUGCCACUCUGAAUUUUCAACUUUUUGGGUUUUACUUAAAUCAUAAGCAAUGUACAAAUAUAUUUAUUAGUGUAUUCCAUGAUUUUAAAAGUUUAUAGCCUUUAAUUACUACACACAUAUAAAUUUCUAAGAAAAAUAGUUUGUUUCUAAAAAGCUUGACCUACUGGUUAUGUUUUUAAUUAUAUAGCAGCUAUAUUAAAUAUGCAAAAAUAUAUACACAUGUACCCAAAUAACUACAUUUGUCUGUUUACAUAAUCAUCUUAAACAAAUGUUUGAGUUUUCAAAUAAUUUACCUUCUUAGAAAUAUAAUCAAUAUAGUAGUUCAAGAAAUGUGAAAUUGAAGACUGCAAAUUAGAUUAUUUCAUCCUGAAUGAAAAAAAAAUACAAUUCUGUACUGCUAUAUGAGUAGCAAGUAGUAAGAUAAAAUGUGUCUAAAAAGAAAUUGAAGACUGCAAAUUAGAUUAUUUCAUCCUGAAUGAAAAAAAAAUACAAUUCUGUACUGCUAUAUGAGUAGCAAGUAGUAAGAUAAAAUGUGUCUAAAAAGAGAGAAAUACAUGCCAGUAUACAUUUAGAGGUCAUAGAAUGUUCAAAACCAUACAGUUUAAACUCCAUUUAAUUUUGCUUUUCUUAGAUAGCAUUCUCUUUCUUGGAAGCAAUUAGAGUCACUGGAAUCUGAGAUUCAAUCAUGCAUUUGAUGCUAGCUGAUGAUGUAUAUGGAUUACCUUAUUCACAUGAUGUAAAGAGAAAAAAAUAAUUGACCUAAUUUUAGUAUUCCAUUUCCUUUUUGCCAGCUCCCAUCUGCGAUUAUUUCUCUUUUUCUUACAAAUGAUAGGAGAAGAAUAAAAAGGAUCUGGCAGAACCCCUCCCUCUCCAAAACAAUCUCUCCAACCUGAAAAGAUCUCCUGAACUUUAAACAUAUAUUUUAAAUUACCCAUUUCUAUAUUUCCUUAGAUGUCUUACAGAGAUUUUGAAUUUAAAAUAGAUAAAACAGUGUAUUU